ensembl:rRNA 5S_rRNA 5S ribosomal RNA
CACUAGAGUCUCACCACCCUGAAUGUGCCAGAUCUCAUCUGAUCUUGGAAGCUAAACAGGCUGGGGCUUGGUUAGCACUUGGAUGGGAGAAAAUUCACGCACUAGGAC